AGGGCCACACCUGCAGCAUAUGGAGGUUCCCGGGCUAGGGGUCUAAUCAGAGCUGCAGCCGCCGGCCUACGCCACAGCCACAGCAACGCAGUAUCCGGGCUGCAUCUGCGACCUACACCACACCUCACGGCAACGCCGGAUCCUUAACCCACUGAGCAAGGCCAGGGAUCAUACAUCCUCAUGGAUACCAGUCACUACUGAACCACGACGGGGACUCCCAUUUGUAUUUUUGUGGCUUUUGUUUCUGGCUUUGCCUGCAGCAUGUGCAAAUUCCCAGGCUGGGGAUCCACCCUCUGCCACAGCAGUGACAAUGCUGGAUGCUUAAACCUCUGGGCCACCAGGGAACUCCCCCAUUUGUGUUUUUUAAAUGUCCCUUCUCUGUUUUUGCUAUUUUUUCCCUGUCUUCUUAGAACUCUUAUUAUUAGAUUAGUUCUUACUCUAUGACAUGAGUUGCAUAUUUUUUUCCAAAUGCUUGUCUUUUGACUUUUGAAUCUAUGUAUCGCCAGACAGAAGUUUUCUUUUUUUAAUUUUUAUAUUGUCAAAUCAGUCUGUCUUUUCUUCUUUCACUUCCAGAUUUGAGUCAUCCCCAGAGAGGCUUUUGUCAUUAAGUCUUGGGGCAGAUGGUUAUACAGCAAUAGGUUACACAUGAACAGCUAAGGCACUAUGACAGGAGCUUAGGAAUUUUUUUUUUUUUAUGAAUUAAGAAUUCAAAGAAUAAGGAACAUAGGAGUUCCUGCUGUGGCGCAGGGGGACGAAUCUGACUAGGACUGAUGAGGUUGCAGGUUUGAUCCCUGGCCUCACUUAGUAAUCUGGCGUUACUAAGAGCUGUGGUGUAGGUUGCAGACGCGGCUCUGAUCUUGCACUGCUGUGGCUGUGGUGUAGGCUCUUGGCCAUAGCUCUGAUUCGACCCUAGCCUGAGAACUUACAUAUGCUGCGGGUGUGGUCCUACAAAGAAAAAAAAAAUUGUAAUUUUCUUUUUAGUUCCUUAGCAUUGCCCAUGAGAGUGCUCUGGGAUGUUUCAGGGCCUCUGGUCUCCAGUUUUGAGGGUCGGUCUCUGUGGGGGGCAUUGCUGAUAUCUCAUUCUCCAUCCCCCGUAGAUCAGUUAGUUUCACAGUUAGGGAAAACCAUUAGAAAGAGUCCUACUCUACACAAAUAGACACCCUGAGAGUGGGGAGCUGCUUGGCUCAGCCUCAGGGCUGGGUUCUGUGUGGAGGGCGGGACUCCCCGGCACGCUCCUGGGGUCUCAGGGCUCAGCAGUGGAGGAUUCAGCUUUGUCACUGCUGUGGCUCUGGCUGCUGCUGUGGCGUGGGUUCUAUUCCCGGCCCAGGAACCUCUCCAUGUUGUGGGUGUGGCAAAAAAAAAAAAAAAAAAAAAGACAACCAACCCUGCUUGGUUUGGGCAUGGAUUCAGGAGGGCUGGUGGGGAGUUAGGGGACAGGGGGUGUAGCCAGGGCCAAGUGAAAGAGCCUCGUCAGACUGCAGGUCUCAGCGAGGUGGAUUUGAAUGCCUGAAGGUGGAAAUGGAAGGAAAUGCUGGGUCCCUGGGGUGUGCCUGGCUCUGGGCAAGUAGCUUCAGAGCAAGUGAUAAGGUCCAGGGCAGCUUGGCAAGUUCUCUGGAGCUAUUGAAACCCUUUGCUGACAUCUGGUCCGAGGCUGGUAACGCUCCCUGGCAACUCACCGCGAGUGGGAACCGUGUGAGCUCUGCAGCCCUCAGGCUGGGCUGGCUGCCAGGCUGUCCUGUCCUACUGGCCCAAAGUGCAGUGGCCGAGGCACCCUCUGACAGGCCGUCUGCUCCCCUCACCUCCUGCCCCCCUUCCUGCAUGGGGCAGGGCCUGACCUGUUUCCCUAAGACCUAAGGUGACCGAUGACGGAAAUGCCUCUGCUCAGUUUCUUCUCCAUAAACAAAACCCCUUCUUUUUUUUUUUCCUUUUUAGGGCCAUGCCCAUGGCAUAUGGAGGUACCCAGGCUAGGGGUCCAAUUGGAUCUACAGCCACCAGCCUACACUACAGCUACAGCAAAACCAGAUCCUUAACCCACUGAGCGAGGCCAGGGGUCAAACACACAACCUCGUGGUUCCUGGGGGGAUUUGUUUCCACUGCGCCACGAUGGGAACUCCUAAAACCCUUUCUUCAAGGGGCUAAACAGCGAGCCCUUUCUGAGAACACCUGCAGCUCCUCUUUUAGUCCCGUUGCCCAGGGACUUUGGGUUUUUACUUCAUUAAUUGAGACCUUAAAAGUCACAAAAUAGAGCUCACCCCGACCAACAGAUCUUAACUCACUGAAACUAAUUCUCCUCCUAAACUCACCCUGGGAGUAUUUGAAAGAAAAGCGUCAUAAAGCUCAAAUCAAAAAGCACAGGAGGUCCCCCUUCGGGCUCAGCGGAAAUGAACCUAACAUUCAUGAAGACACGGGUUUGAUCCCUGGCCUCGCUCAGUGGGUUAAGGAUCUGGCGUUGUCAUGAGCUGUGGUGUAGGUCGCAGAUGAAAGAUGACGUGAAGACACAGACAACACCACGUGAAGAUGGAGGCAGAGAUGGGAGCAAUGCAUCUCCAAGCCAAGGACACCAAAGACGGCCAGCAGAUGCCCAGAAGGAUCUGAUGUCACUGUGGCUGUGGCGCAGGCCGGCAGCUGUAGCUCCAAUUCAACCCCUAGCCUGAGAAUUUCCAUACGCCUUGAGCGUGGACCUAAAAAGCAAAAAAAUAAAAAUAGAAAGCAGAAGAGGCCGAGUUCCUUUGUGGCACAGUGGAUUAAGGAUCAGGCAUUGUCACCACAGCCACCUGGGUUGCUGCUGUAGCAAAGUUUCAAUCCCUGGCCCAGGAACCGCCCCGUGCCACAGGUGUGGUUAAAAAAAAAAAAGUAGAAGAGGAAAGACAACGCGCAGAGAAAAAGGUGACAUGAGGUCAUGUCCCUGCCAGUUGGAACCUGUUGGUUUUAUUCCAGCGUAAACUGAUUAGUUUUCCUGGGUGGUUUAAUGGAGAAGGAGGAGGAGGGAGGAGGCGUCUUUAUUUAGCCCUCAUGUUGCAAUCACGCGUUCCUAGAUCCCGGCCUCCUGCCUAGAAUACGUGCAGAGGUUCAGGGAGGAGUUAAUAAGGCUCGGCUUGGGCUCUGCAAUGGAGAGGGGCCACCCUUCACAAGGACAGGCCUGGCAAGCCUGUCUCCUCAUCGCUAUGUCAACUGAAUGCUUCCAGGUCUGGGGCACGUGCCUCNGCUGCAGCUGCCAGCCUACACCACAGCCCCAUCAAUGCCAGAUCCUUAACCCACUGAGUGAGGCCAGGGAUCAAACCUGCAUCCUCAUGGAUGCUAGUCAGGUUCAUAACCUGCUGAGCCACAAUGGGAACUCCCCAGUUUCCUGGUCCUAAAGUUAGCACCCCCACUCCCCACCCGAGUCAGGGUCGGGGCAGGCCCUUGGCCUGAAUCCUGCAUCCUGCCUGCCAGUCUCCAAGGUAAAGGCAGGCAGGCUCUUCAUGGUUUAUUAAGCAACCAGAGCAACACAGACUAGAAUUCUUCAGCUCCCACCAUGUGAUGGAAGAUGUGGGUUUUGCAUUCUUUUCUUUUUUUCUUUUUUGCUCAGAGCCUGUGAUAAGGGUCAACUCGACCUAUGCUACUUUAUUUACUCAACAUCUCACCAAAACAUUUUCUCCGGGAAUUAUUGUGGUAGUUCCACAUUCAGCACUGCUGGGAAGUGCUAGGAGCGGGCUGCUUAAUGUCUCUGUUGUCAGUUUCCCAGUUUCUUCGCAGUUGUAUUUCUAGCCUGAAGUUGCAUCUGGUACAUAGCAGGUGCUCAGUAAAUGUUUGUUCAAUGAAUAAAUGCAUGAAUUAUCUGAAAUGUCAUAUUUUUCACUCUCCCAUGCCUUGGCAUAUGUUAAUUGCUUCAGUCUAAAAGCUCCUACUCCUUGCAGCAGUUACCUUUGGAUGUGUGCCUAACUCGCAAUAACUCUCUUUUGGGGAGCUGUCUCCCUCCCAUCCACAAAGUCACCAAGGUGGGUCUGAGGGAGCCCUAUUCCUGUCUUGGACGCUGCCCCUAGACCAUAACCAAUUUCUGGGGUGGGGCAACCUGACCCAAGUUGGGCCAAGGCCUCUGCCCCAGCAAUUUGGAAUCGGGGUUUGAUAUUCCAGCCUUACUCUGGGCUUGUCUUCAGAAUGGGACACAUUUGGGGAAAAAAAAAAGGGGGGGAGCCACAGUAUGACUGUCAACUACCCCUGCAACUUAAGUAGCAGGGGGAAAAAUUCAGAUGUGCAGAGAGCAGAAGAGAAAGAAACAGGCUAUGGUCAAGGAGUGGAGGGCGUGCUAUGAUGCGCCACCCUGGAUCCUGCAAGGGCCGAGCCGUCAUUCCUCCAGCCCGCGGCGAAUGUCAGCUGUGACAGUUGAGUUCUUCCCUGAGACUCGCCCCUCAUGGAAGGGACCUGCCACGUCCGAGGACAUGGCCUCCCCAGGGCAUUCCAUCACCACGGACCGGUCCUUAUACCCCAGUCAAUGCCCUCGCCAAUGUACAAAGGGCUGGUGACAACCAUCCCAGCUCCUGAGCUUCCUAUGGAAUCGUGUAAGGUUCCCAGCUGAAUCCAGGUUCAACUUCUGCCCUGCGCAGCUGCUCUGAUUUGCUAAAAGGCUGCUUCCUGAGAGGCUGAGCGAUGAGUGUUCUGUAUGCAUGAAUAAGAGAGUGCAGCUCUGCUUCCCAGGGCACCUAACCCAAGACACGAGGCUUACAGUGCAAAGGCACUGGUGGUAAAACAACUGAUGAUUGCUGUGAUGAGGCAGAGGUUCUUCCCAAGAAGCACCUCGGCUUCCUUGCUGGCCCUAGCGAGGGGCCUCCUUAAAUUAACCUUUCCUAAAUGAAACAUAGUUUGCAGGUCAGGGUGGUAAGCAUUUUGGCCUCCAGCAUAGCAGCUGAGACCCCCAGGGCCACCUGGAGAGGGAGGUAAAGUUUGGCCUUGGCACCUGGUCCUUUUUACAAAUCUCUCCCGACCCCCGCCCCUGCCCCCCAGCUCUAGGGUGGGCAUGUGAGGUGCUGCACCCAGCCCAGCCCCCUUCUCUCAUUCAACGUGGAUUGAGGGGCCACAAGGUGUGGGGGUUCCUUCUCUGACCCAUCUCGCUGUCAAAGUGCCCUGGACCGGCUCCCAUCUCUGAUCCCUGCGGCAGGCGACGCACAGGUGCAUUAUCUUCCACCAGUGGCAUUUUCACCAUGGGGCUUCGUCUUGGUUCCUGUUUCUGGUUUCAGGGAAUUUCCUCCUCUGGGGAUUCAGCAGCUCAGUCCCUAUGUAGACUUUGGGGAAGACUCCAGGCUGAAGGCGUCGUACACACUCAGAGGCCCUCAGAUGGUCCAGAACCCCUGAGAGGUUCCGAACCCCUCUUGUUGCAACUGAGGAAACAGAGUAUUUGAACCAAUCCUGCAACCCAGGACAGGCAGAUGGGGAAAUGCUUUCCACUGACUGAGGUUCAAUUCGAUUCUCUCCACACUCAGCAUCUGCCGCCUCCCGCCCUUGGGAGGGUUUCCAGGGGCGAAUCUGAUUCUUGGCGCGCGCGGGUACCGUGGGGAGCGGAGCGGGGGCGCGCGGGGGCCGCGCCACGCCCCGGGGGCUGCGGGUGGGUCCAGAGCCGCUCGGCGGCCAGGGCGGCCAAGAAGAGGGAGAAACUCGUCUCCACCGCGCCCCCUCCCCCGCCCCCAAGUCCCGUUCUCCCUCUUUCUAGAAGCCCUCCUCUAUCCUGGCUGCGACUUGUGCGACUCUUUUUUUGGCGAAAGAAACCUUACCGAAUCGAGGGCACUAGGGCGGCGGCACCAAGGGAAGGCAGGGUGGUGUCUGUUGGAGGCUUUUAUCCUUGGAGCGUAGAAUUAGAGGAAGAGCCCUUCCGCAGACCCCGAAUUCCCGCUGCACGCGACGGCCCGGGCCGUGGCAGGAUCCCAAACACUCAGUGCCGCGUGGACCUUGGGCGGCGGGAACCUCGGACGCUGGUCGGCUCCCAGGAAGCCCUGCGGCCCCUCUC
rnacentral:lncRNA from 1 species